rnacentral:rRNA from 1 species
UACGAAGGGGGCUAGCGUUGCUCGGAAUCACUGGGCGUAAAGGGUGCGUAGGCGGGUCUUUUAAGUCAGGGGUGAAAUCCUGGAGCUCAACUCCAGAACUGCCUUUGAUACUGAGGAUCUUGAGUUCGGGAGAGGUGAGUGGAACUGCGAGUGUAGAGGUGAAAUUCGUAGAUAUUCGCAAGAACACCAGUGGCGAAGGCGGCUCACUGGCCCAUUCUGACGCCUGAGGCACGAAAGCGUGGGGGAGCAAACAGGG